rnacentral:rRNA from 1 species
AACGAACGCUGGAGGCAGGCUUAACACAUGCAAGUCGAGCGCCCCGCAAGGGGAGCGGCAGACGGGUGAGUAACGCGUGGGAAUCUACCCAUCUCUACGGAAUAACGCAUGGAAACGUGUGCUAAUACCGUAUACGUCUUUUGGGAGAAAGAUUUAUCGGAGAGGGAUGAGCCCGCGUUGGAUUAGCUAGUUGGUGGGGUAAAGGCAUACCAAGACGACGAUCCAUAGCUGGUCUGAGAGGAUGAUCAGCCACACUGGGAUGGAGACACGGCCCAGACGCCGACGGGAGGCAGCAGUGGGGAAUAUUGGGCAAUGGGCGCAAGCCUGAUCCAGCCAUGCCGCGUGAGUGAUGAAGGCCCUAGGGUUGUAAAGCUCUUUCACCGGGGAAGAUAAUGACGGUAACCGGAGAAGAAGCCCCGGCUAACUUCGUGCCAGCAGCCGCCGUAAUAC